rnacentral:rRNA from 1 species
AGUGAACGCUGGCGGUAGGCCUAACACAUGCAAGCCGAACGGCAGCACAGUAAGAGCUUGCUCUUACGGGUGGCGAGUGGCGGAUGGGUGAGGAAUACAUCGGAAUCUACUUUUUCGUGGGGUAUAACGUAGGGAAACUUACGCUAAUACCGCAUACGACCUACGGGUGAAAGCAGGGGAUCUUCGGGCCUUGCGCGAUUGAAUGAGCCGAUGUCGGAUUAGCUAGUUGGCGGGGUAAAGGCCCACCAAGGCGACGAUCCGUAGCUGGUCUGAGAGGAUGAUCAGCCACACUGGAACUGAGACACGGUCCAGACUCCUACGGGAGGCAGCAGUGGGGAAUAUUGGACAAUGGGCGCAAGCCUGAUCCAGCCAUACCGCGUGGGUGAAGAAGGCCUUCGGGUUGUAAAGCCCUUUUGUUGGGAAAGAAAAGCAGCAGGUUAAUACCCCGCUGUUCUGACGGUACCCAAAGAAUAAGCACCGGCUAACUUCGUG